CUUGAGAUUGAGCAACAAGUCAAGAAGCUAGAAAAGAAUAAAUCAUUCUUUUUCUCAAGCCUUUGUUGGUCUUUAGUGAAAUGGGGUUAUGGGGAGCUGAGAAAUCAUUUAAUUGAUAAAGUCCUUCAACAAGAUUUGAGUGGAUAUAGAUACCUUCAUUUUUGCAUGAAUUCCAAUGGGAA